UACGUAGGGUGCAAGCGUUAAUCGGAAUUACUGGGCGUAAAGCGUGCGUAGACGGUUGCGUAAGUCAGAUGUGAAAGCCCCGGGCUCAACCUGGGAAUUGCAUUUGAGACUGCGUAGCUAGGGUGCGGAAGAGGGAAGCGGAAUUUCCGGUGUAGCGGUGAAAUGCGUAGAUAUCGGAAGGAACACCAGUGGCGAAAAGCGGCUUCCUGGUCCAGCACCGACGUUCAGGCACGAAAGCGUGGGGAGCAAACAGG
rnacentral:rRNA from 1 species